GUGGGGAAUAUUGGACAAUGGGCGAAAGCCUGAUCCAGCCAUGCCGCGUGUGUGAAGAAGGUCUUCGGAUUGUAAAGCACUUUAAGUUGGGAGGAAGGGCAGUAAGUUAAUACCUUGCUGUUUUGACGUUACCGACAGAAUAAGCACCGGCUAACUCUGUGCCAGCAGCCGCGGUAAUACGAAGGGUGCAAGCGUUAAUCGGAAUUACUGGGCGUAAAGCGCGCGUAGGUGGUUUUGUAAGUUGGAGGUGAAAUCCACGGGCUCAACCUGGGAACUGCCUCCAAAACUGCAUGACUAGAGUACGGUAGAGGGUAGUGGAAUUUCCUGUGUAGCGGUGAAAUGCGUAGAUAUAGGAAGGAACACCAGUGGCGAAGGCGACUACCUGGACUGAUACUGACACUGAGGUGCGAAAGCGUGGGGAGCAAACAGGAUUAGAUACCCGUGUAGUCC
rnacentral:rRNA from 1 species